ACGGGUGAGUAAUACGUAGGAAUCUGCCCUAGAGUGGGGGAUAACCCGAGGAAACUCGGGCUAAUACCGCAUAAUCUCUACGGAGCAAAGCUGGGGACCUUCGGGCCUAGCGCUUUAGGACGAGCCUACGUCGGAUUAGCUAGUUGGUGGGGUAAAGGCCUACCAAGGCGACGAUCCGUAGCUGGUCUGAGAGGAUGAUCAGCCACACUGGGACUGAGACACGGCCCAGACUCCUACGGGAGGCAGCAGUGGGGAAUAUUGGACAAUGGGCGAAAGCCUGAUCCAGCAAUGCCGCGUGUGUGAAGAAGGCCUUCGGGUUGUAAAGCACUUUUAGUGAGGAGGAAAGGCUUAGAGCUAAUAUCUCUAAGAGUUGACGUUACUCACAGAAAAAGCACCGGCAAACUCUGUGCCAGCAGCCGCGGUAAUACAGAGGGUGCAAGCGUUAAUCGGAAUUACUGGGCGUAAAGCGCACGUAGGCGGAUAUUUAAGUCGGAUGUGAAAGCCCCGGGCUCAACCUGGGAACGGCAUUCGAUACUGAAUAUCUAGAGUAUGGUAGAGGACAGUGGAAUUCCCGGUGUAGC
rnacentral:rRNA from 1 species